GACGAACGCUGGCGGCGUGCUUCAUACAUGCAAGUCGAACGAGAAGCUAGAGCUUGCUCUAGUGGAAAGUGGCGGACGGGUGAGUAAUAUGUAGGAAAUCUGCCUAGAGAGGGGGACAACAGAAGGAAACUUCUGCUAAUACCCCAUAUGAGCUUGGUUGAAAUACCAAUCUUGAAAACUCCGGUGGUCUGGGAUGGACCCGCGUCCGAUUAGUUAGUUGGUGGGGUAACGGCCCACCAAGACUGCGAUCGGUAGCCGACCUGAGAGGGUGACCGGCCACAUUGGGACUGAGACACGGCCCAGACUCCUACGGGAGGCAGCAGUGGGGAAUAUUGCACAAUGGAGGAAACUCUGAUGCAGCGACGCCGCGUGAGCGAAGAAGUAUUUCGGUAUGUAAAGCUCUGUCAGCAGGGAAGAUAAUGACGGUACCUGACCAAGAAGCCCCGGCUAACUACGUG
rnacentral:rRNA from 1 species